CACUACUGGCUACUGAGCCGCGGCCGCUUCGCUAUACGUGCGGUGCGGGUGCGGUGCGGUGCGGCCUUGCUCGGGGAAGGGUGGACGACGUGCCGAGCAGGGGAGGAGAGAGGUGGGCAGAGGGGGUGGGUGGCCGCUUCCGUUCGAGGGCGAAGAAGAAGGCGAAGAAGAAGGCGGGGUCAGCGCUCUAAACGCUUGUCAGACCUAAGUCGCGAGGUGACUAUGGGCUAUCGUCGUUGUCGUUCGUUCGUACCCGCCACAACCUACCUCCUCCGAACCAAGGUUCGACGCCGUCGCUACCCCGACCCUCUCGGCGGAGGCGCGGGCCCCGAAGAGAAGGCGAGGACGCGAAGGUGGAGGUGGGGUGUACCUCUCACAACCUAAGUAUCCCGAACCCUUGUACCCGCGGGUGUACCGUUCCUUGGACCACUCCCGACCUAUGUCUCACAGUCAAGUACUAUAUUUACUCCAACGGUACUUCUUCAAGAGGCUGCUACCUUAAGGGUGCUUCGCCAGCGGUGAACUUCACAGACUCAGCUCACUACAACAUUAGUGGUACAAUGGAAGGAGACGGGUACAGAAUCUACAUAUGUCACCUGCCUUGCCGAACGAACCAUUACCCCCCGCGGAACCUGGCACCAAUAUGUAUCUAAGUAGGUGUCAACUAGGAGUAUGUAGCUCUUUCUAUAGAUACCUGUACAGUUCUACGUCAAAUUUACUCUUCUUUCCGAUGCGGCUUUUUGGCUACUACUACCUACGAGGACAGAGGCCUCCACAAGGACGGCGUCUUCGACCCUGUGACUGAAAGUACCACCCACCAAAUCUUCUUUGUAUGUAUCGUCGUUUCGGCAAUGAAGAGCGUUACCCGUUUUUCGACUAGAUGACGCCGCCCCGACCUUUACCGAGCCGACGUUUCGAGACAUUGUUAUACCGGUACCGGUAGUCGUACGAACCCCAGAGGCUCCGGAAACGAGAACCAGUCUUAGAACCCUAGUUUCGUUCGUGAGAGUGUCUAUAUAAGUUAACGAGAUCGCGGGCGACGACCUCAUCGCUGUGUAUAUUGGGUCAAGGACCUCAUUACCGCCCGCACGGUAGCAGCUCCUUAAUACUACCACCAAAGUGGAGGUUUAAUUACCGAUUUCUAAACCUAAACCGGUACCGGAGACGUAGACCUCAACCGAAGUUUACAGGGUACCCAAGACUUCGUGAACUCUAAAUGGCCUUCAAUACGCUGCUCCCGACACUUAAGUUCCUGAAGAGUACGCGCAAACCGGUGAAAAUGUGGCCGUUCCUACUCUUCACUAGGACAUAGAUAGGGUCGUUUGAACAGUAACCAACUUUAUUUUAUUAUUACAAGAGGUUAACUAAUUUAAAUCCACAAUCAAUUUGUCACGGGUCUGUUCCAACGUCUGAACCUCAGAGGAAACAUGUAUAACAAUCAAGCCAAACGAAGAGUCGUUAGUUCAAAGG
rnacentral:rRNA from 1 species